CCUACGGGAGGCAGCAGUGGGGAAUAUUGGACAAUGGGCGCAAGCCUGAUCCAGCAAUGCCGCGUGAGUGAUGAAGGCCUUAGGGUCGUAAAGCUCUUUUACCAGGGAUGAUAAUGACAGUACCUGGAGAAUAAGCUCCGGCUAACUCCGUGCCAGCAGCCGCGGUAAUACGGAGGGAGCUAGCGUUGUUCGGAAUUACUGGGCGUAAAGCGUACGUAGGCGGUUAUUCAAGUCAGAGGUGAAAGCCCGGGGCUCAACCCCGGAACGGCCUUUGAAACUAGGUAGCUAGAAUCUUGGAGAGGUCAGUGGAAUUCCGAGUGUAGAGGUGAAAUUCGUAGAUAUUCGGAAGAACACCAGUGGCGAAGGCGACUGACUGGACAAGUAUUGACGCUGAGGUACGAAAGCGUGGGGAGCAAACAGGAUUAGAUACCCUGGUAGUCCACGCCGUAAACGAUGAUAACUAGCUGUUCGGGCACUUGGUGCUUGAGUGGCGCAGCUACGCAUUAAGUUAUCCGUCCGUGGGAGGUACGGUCGCGAAGAAUUAAAACUAACAAAGGAAAGUUAGACGGCGUGAGACGUGCCGAACGGACGACGACGAGGGAGGUAGG
rnacentral:rRNA from 1 species